UGGGGAAUCUUGCGCAAUGGGCGAAAGCCUGACGCAGCAACGCCGCGUGAGUGAUGAAGGCCUUCGGGUCGUAAAGCUCUUUCAGGAGGGACGAAACCGUUCCGGGAUAAUAAACCGAAGCCUUGACGGUACCUUCAGAAGAAGCACCGGCUAACUCUGUGCCAGCAGCCGCGGUAAUACAGAGGGUGCAAGCGUUGUUCGGAAUUAUUGGGCGUAAAGCGCGUGUAGGCGGCAAGGCAUGUCGGGUGUGAAAGCCCUCGGCUUAACCGAGGAAGUGCGCCCGAAACUACUUUGCUUGAGUACCAGAGAGGACGGCGGAACUCCCGGUGUAGAGGUGAAAUUCGUAGAUAUCGGGAAGAACACCAGUGGCGAAGGCGGCCGUCUGGAUGGAUACUGACGCUGAGACGCGAAAGCGUGGGGAGCAAACAGGAUUAGAUACCCCCGUAGUCC
rnacentral:rRNA from 1 species